rnacentral:rRNA from 1 species
GAUGAACGCUGGCGGCGUGCCUAACACAUGCAAGUCGAACGGACAAACAGGGAGCUUGCUCCUUUCCGGUUAGCGGCGGACGUGUGAGUAACACGUGGAUAACCUACCUCUAAUUCUGGGAUAACCUCUGGAAACCACGUCUAAUACCGGAUAAUAUGUUGAACCGCAUCGUUCACUGGUGCAACGCACUUUUGCUGUCACUUAUCGCUGGUUCCGUGCCGCUUUUGCUAGUUUGUAAGGUCACGCCUUAGCCAGGCAACGAUGCGUAGCCGAACUGAGAGGCGGAUAGGCCACCCGGGAACGGAGCCACGGUCAAGACUCCUACGGGAGGCAGCAGUAGGGAAUCUGCGGCAAUGGGCGAAAGCAUGACGGAGCAAGGCCGCGUGAGUGACGAAGGCCUUCGGAUAGUAAAGCCCGGUUAUUGGGUAAGAACAAAUGUGGGAGUAAAAAAAGAGGUCGUGACGGUACCUAAAGAGAAAGCAACGGCUAACUACGUG